rnacentral:rRNA from 1 species
GUGGGGAAUCUUCCGCAAUGGACGAAAGUCUGACGGAGCGACGCCGCGUGAGUGAUGAAGGCCUUCGGGUCGUAAAGCUCUGUCAUCGGGGACGAACGGCCUCAGCAGGUAAUGGCUGGGGAUUGACGGUACCCGAGAAGGAAGCCACGGCUAACUACGUGCCAGCAGCCGCGGUAAUACGUAGGUGGCAAGCGUUGUCCGGAAUUAUUGGGCGUAAAGCGCGCGCAGGUGGGAUCUUAAGUCCAUUUUGAAAGUUCGGAGCUCAACUCCGUGAUGGGAGGGAAACUGGGAUUCUUGAGUACCGGAGAGGAAAGCGGAAUUCCCCGUGUAGCGGUGAAAUGCGUAGAUAUGGGGAGGAACACCAGUGGCGAAGGCGGCUUUCUGGACGGUGUCUGACACUGAGGCGCGAAAGCCAGGGGAGCGAACGGGAUUAGAAACCCCGGUAGUCC